rnacentral:RNase_P_RNA from 1 species
GUUCGGGUUCGGGCGGCCGCUGCACCGCAAGGUGUAGAGGAAAGUCCGGACAUCACAAGGCAGCGCGUCCCGUGAAAGCGGGAGACGCCCGGAGCCAAUGCCGGGUGGACGGAAAGUGCCACAGAAAACAAACCGCCCGCAAGGGUAAGGGUGAAAUGGUGGGGUAAGGGCCCACCGCUCCGGAGGUGACGAAGGAGGCUCGGUAAACCCCGCGCGAUGCAAGACAAACAGGAGGAGGGACGCCUUGCCCGCCAACGUCCUCCGGGUAUUAGUUGCACCCCGCUAUAAACGCGGGGCACAGUCGCAAGACCGUGAGAAAAAUGGCCGCACAACCCCGCAAGGGGCGGACAGAAUCCGGCUUACAGAACCCGAACGGCA